CUGGAAACUAGGCCAAAUAAUCCACUCCUCCUUUAAGAGCUGCCGGUGUUGGGUAUGGUGUUGCAGUGACGAAUACAGGAAUGAAUGAAAAGCAUACCACAAAAGAGUGCUCUGGGAAAGAGAGCCAAGAGAAAGUUAAGAGACAAGAGAAAUUCCAGAAGAGAAGUUCAAGGAAUGAAUGGACAACAGCUGGAAGAAUGAAUGUGAUCAUUAUCAAAUGGAUUUGGCAAACUGGUCAGGAGUUUCAUAUCUUUUAAGUCAAAAACUGAGAAAUAUAAAAAGAGAUUUAAGUAGUAUAGAUAAGGAUUAUAAAGAUUAAACAGUAGAUAAGUAGAGAUGUGGGAAUUUUAUUAUUUUUGUUUUAAAGGAUGAAGAAGGUUUGAAUCUGUACUAGCACUUCAAAGAAAAGUAUACACAAAAUU